rnacentral:lncRNA from 1 species
CUAUAUCUAGGUAUCCAUUGCCUACAGAAACCAAUUGUUCCAAGAAUAGCUGUGUUGCUUCUUGGUCUUAGGUGUACUCAGUUUCUGGAUUCUUUUCUGUGUGAUACUUCUGGAACCCUCUGAUGAUAAAAAUCUAAGAUAUUCUACUCAAGGCAAAACCCACUGUAACUUUGCCUUGGCGAUUUUAUGCCCAUGUUUAUAUAAUUCAAUCAAAAGAAUCUUGCUAUCUCUUAGACACACUUUAGCAGAUGGUGAGGUACUAUUUUGCUUUUUUUGAAUGUUAUGGUUUUCAGGUCUCUAUUUAAAAUUUGUGAGAACUGAUUUGAGGAAUCAGGGAAUCCCUGUGGAAGACAACUCCAGGUCCACUGUGUUUUUUCCCAGGAAAAUGAAAGGAUGCAGACAGAAGAAAACAGAUUCAUGAAAGCCAAAUAUACACAAAAUACAGCCAUGGGAAUGAAAUUAGAAUUACAUGACAUCAAAUCUCAGGUUGGGGAACACAGGCCUUGGCAGCCUUUCUCUGGAGAGAUUCAGCCUUGGAAGAUCCUUGGUCCCACUGCACACUGACCACACUCCAGGCACCAGG